rnacentral:rRNA from 1 species
AGAGUUUGAUCCUGGCUCAGAACGAACGCUGGCGGCAGGCUUAACACAUGCAAGUCGAACGCCCCGCAAGGGGAGUGGCAGACGGGUGAGUAACGCGUGGGAAUCUACCCAACUCUACGGGAUAACUCAGGGAAACUUGUGCUAAUACCGUAUACGCCCUUCGGGGGAAAGAUUUAUCGGAGUUGGAUGAGCCCGCGUUGGAUUAGCUAGUUGGUGGGGUAAAGGCCUACCAAGGCGACGAUCCAUAGCUGGUCUGAGAGGAUGAUCAGCCACAUUGGGACUGAGACACGGCCCAAACUCCUACGGGAGGCAGCAGUGGGGAAUAUUGGACAAUGGGCGCAAGCCUGAUCCAGCCAUGCCGCGUGAGUGAUGAAGGCCCUAAGGGUUGUAAA